rnacentral:rRNA from 1 species
UACGGAGGGUGCAAGCGUUAUCCGGAUUUACUGGGUUUAAAGGGUGCGUAGGCGGGCCUGUAAGUCAGUGGUGAAAUCUUCCCGCUUAACGGGAAAACUGCCAUUGAUACUAUAGGUCUUGAAUUCAGUUGAGGUGGGCGGAAUGUGUCGUGUAGCGGUGAAAUGCUUAGAUAUGACACAGAACACCGAUUGCGAAGGCAGCUCACUAAAUUGUAACUGACGCUGAGGCACGAAAGCGUGGGGAUCAAACAGG